rnacentral:rRNA from 1 species
AUACGUAGGGGGCGAGCGUUGUCCGGAAUGAUUGGGCGUAAAGGGCGCGUAGGCGGCCCGGUAAGUCUGGAGUGAAAGUCCUGCUUUUAAGGUGGGAAUUGCUUUGGAUACUGUCGGGCUUGAGUGCAGGAGAGGUAAGUGGAAUUCCCAGUGUAGCGGUGAAAUGCGUAGAGAUUGGGAGGAACACCAGUGGCGAAGGCGACUUACUGGACUGUAACUGACGCUGAGGCGCGAAAGUGUGGGGAGCAAACAGGAUUAGAUACCCUGGUAGCCCACGCCGUAAACGAUGAAUACUAGGUGUUGGGAGGAACUAUCCUUUCGGUGCCGCAGCAAACGCAAUAAGUAUUCCACCUGGGGAGUACGUUCGCAAGAAUGAAACUUAAAGGAAUUGACGGGG